rnacentral:lncRNA from 1 species
UUUCCUCAUUGUGGCUCUUUUGAGCGACGCUGUGGGCCUGGGCCUUUUGUUACUGGGGAUCUUUGCUACCCUAAACUACUGGGACUUCUUUGUCUACACAGGAUCUCUGAUCCUGGCUCUGAGCCUACUGUUCUGGCUGGCCUGGUAUUCCUUCAAUAUCGAGGUACCUCUUGAAAAGCUGGACUUUUAGUGUGCCCAUGGACAAGAGGGAUGCAGGUGGCAUAUGCUGAUGUGAACCUGAGGACCCUGGACAUGAAGCCCCCACACAGAAUGCCACUAAGACCAGCAUGGGUCUGUCUGGCCCAGAAGAAUCAAAUCAAGGUAUGCAGUCUUUGCAGCACACCCUCCGAUAGUAUCCAAGAGGGACCCAGAUGCUGCGAUGACGGAGCCUUCACAUCACCCACCAGGAUAGCCGAGAAUGACUGUGAAUACCAGGACUCUCUCUGGAGCCCAAUCUCCCCGUGCCAAACCACUGAUACUGCUGCCAGCACCCCAGAAGUUUGUGGAGGGCAGAGGAGCCAUGAAGUUCCACCAGUGGGGCUUUUAUAGGAACCACUCCACUCCUGGCUUAGAUACCAAAGAAACCUCUGGUCAAAGUCUUUUCAAAGAACUGCCAACUGAAAUCGGGGUCUCCCGUGAGCAUGCGGCCCACAGUACUGUUGUCAUGUCCCUUUGACAUCCACUAGACUCCAAGUGCCUGGUCUCUCUUCAUCCCACCACUGAGGGGAUACACAGAAGCCAAUUCCAACAUGGAGACUGCAACAUGAAUGCGCAGGCAGCAGUGAGCACACAGGACUCUCCUGUUCACG